CUCCUCAUAUUCUCACAACCAUGGUUUUGUGUCUUGUGAUCACAACAAAACAGACAUGGAGACCCCUAUACAGAAGGGCAUGGGCUGGAAUAUAUUGGUUUAGGCUAGUCGGUGCUCGACUGCUAUACGAUUUUGAUUGCAGAUUUGCAACUCAAAUCCAACUUAUCCACCAAAAUGACAUAGAUCAAACAACUAAGCAUAAGAAACGAACAG
rnacentral:lncRNA from 1 species